GACGAACGCUGGCGGCGUGCUUAACACAUGCAAGUCGAACGGAAAGGCCCUGCUUUUGUGGGGUGCUCGAGUGGCGAACGGGUGAGUAACACGUGAGUAACCUGCCCUUGACUUUGGGAUAACUUCAGGAAACUGGGGCUAAUACCGGAUAGGAGCUCCUGCUGCAUGGUGGGGGUUGGAAAGUUUCGGCGGUUGGGGAUGGACUCGCGGCUUAUCAGCUUGUUGGUGGGGUAGUGGCUUACCAAGGCUUUGACGGGUAGCCGGCCUGAGAGGGUGACCGGCCACAGUGGGACUGAGAUACGGCCCAGACUCCUACGGGAGGCAGCAGUGGGGAAUAUUGCACAAUGGGCGGAAGCCUGAUGCAGCAACGCCGCGUGCGGGAUGACGGCCUUCGGGGUGUAAACCGCUUUCGCCUGUGACGAAGCGUGAGUGACGGUAAGGGGUAAAGAAGCACCGGCUAACUACG
rnacentral:rRNA from 1 species